AACGCUGGCGGCAUGCUUACACAUGCAAGUCGAACGGCAGCACGGGUGCUUGCACCUGGUGGCGAGUGGCGAACGGGUGAGUAAUACAUCGGAACAUGUCCUGUAGUGGGGGAUAGCCCGGCGAAAGCCGGAUUAAUACCGCAUACGAUCUACGGAUGAAAGCGGGGGACCUUCGGGCCUCGCGCUAUAGGGUUGGCCGAUGGCUGAUUAGCUAGUUGGUGGGGUAAAGGCCUACCAAGGCGACGAUCAGUAGCUGGUCUGGGAGGACGACCAGCCACACUGGGACUGAGACACGGCCCAGACUCCUACGGGAGGCAGCAGUGGGGAAUUUUGGACAAUGGGCGAAAGCCUGAUCCAGCAAUGCCGCGUGUGUGAAGAAGGCCUUCGGGUUGUAAAGCACUUUUGUCCGGAAAGAAAUCCUUGGUUCUAAUAUAGCCGGGGGAUGACGGUACCGGAAGAAUAAGCACCGGCUAACUACGUGCCAGCAGCCGCGGUAAUACGUAGGGUGCGAGCGUUAAUCGGAAUUACUGGGCGUAAAGCGUGCGCAGGCGGUUUGCUAAGACCGAUGUGAAAUCCCCGGGCUCAACCUGGGAACUGCAUUGGUGACUGGCAGGCUAGAGUAUGGCAGAGGGGGGUAGAAUUCCACGUGUAGCAGUGAAAUGCGUAGAGAUGUGGAGGAAUACCGAUGGCGAAGGCAGCCCCCUGGGCCAAUACUGACGCUCAUGCACGAAAGCGUGGGG
rnacentral:rRNA from 1 species